rnacentral:pre_miRNA from 1 species
AAAGUACUUCCUCCAUCCCAAAAUUCUUGUCUUAGAUUUCUCUAGAUACAGAUGUAUCAAGUCACAUUUUAGUAUUAGAUACAUCCGUAUCUAGACAAAUCUAAGACAAGAAAUUUGGGACAGAGGGAGUAGUUG